CGCCACCACCGCCGGCCCUCGGCUCUUUCCGCCGGCACCAGCCGGAAACCUCCGAAGCGGCGAGGAACGGGAGGGGGGCGCGCCUCCUCCUCUCGGCCGCGGAUUACGGGUGAAUUCCGGAAACACCCGAAGAAGACAAGAAAGCUCACAGAAAAGAGAAACCGGUAGAAAAUGAGGAUUCCUCAGGAUGGAGAAGUUCCCUUCCUUUCCUGGACUUCAGCGUCAUCAAUAAAGUGAGGUCCCUCUCAUCUUUUGAGAGCCCCCAGCUCCCACAGGAAGUUCACUUUCACUUCCCCCUAGACUUGUCUCACCAGGGAGAGGCAGUAGGCUGGUUUCAGUCCUCGGGCUCUAAGCUGCCCCCACCCACUGUACCCUGGACGUGUUGGAACUCGCCCCACCCCACCCCAGGGCUCAACAGCAGCUUAAGGUGGGCAGAAGCCAGAGUCCCCACAGGAGCCAGAGACCAGGCUCAAGCAGCAAGUCCCCGAAGGUACAGGAGCAGAGAGGCCCCAGGACUUGUGGGGGAAAGUGCUGGAUGGACCUCUGACACUUGACUUUCAACUCCCAUCUUGAGCAGAGCCCUCAGCCAAGUCGCCCAGAGAAACAGGCAGCUGGACAGAUGCAACGAGGGACGGUAUGGAGUACUUCCUGAGGCAACAGGUGCCACCUACAGUCCUCCAGGACACCUCCCCAUGGCCCGUUCUGGCUCCAGUCAGGCGCCCGGUCAUUGAGGAAGAAGCUGAUGAAGGAGCACAGAAGGAGGUUUCCUAUGCUGCAGUCCUAACCCUCAAGGUGAUGGUGAUGGCCUUGGGAGGUGAUGAGGUCUGGAGGGCCCUGCAUGGCCUACUGGGCAGAAUGAGAUUGGUGCCUUCAUAAAAGGGGCCCCACAGGUCUCCCCAGUCCCUUCCUCCACGUGAGGACACAGCAAGAAGACUGCCGUCUGUGAGCCGGGAAGCAGGCUCUGAACCUGCCAGAGCCUUGAUCUUGGACUCCCAGCUUCCAGAAUUGAUAAGCAAGCGCUGCAAGGAAGGACUGGCAGAGAUCGGAGCAACCUGUGGGGGCAUGAAGAAGACGGGCCCUCAAGGAGUUCCCAUCUCAGGAGGAUGUCGGAUGGGCCUUGGACUUGCCGACCUGGAGCUGGCAGAGACAGCUGGUACCAGCUGGUGUCCAGGGCUCUAACUGGCUUUCUGGUGGGGGCGGGGCUGGCUAGGCCGGACUCACCAGUGUGCCAAGAUAAUGUCCCCAUGUACCCACUGCUAUACAGUCACAGCUGGAGCUGUCAGGGUGUCUGGAGAUGAAAUUACCACUUUCCUCCCCUGCCGCCCUCCCUGGGAAGAAGAGCCCGAGCCCCAAGGAGAGUAGGGAUAUUUUGUGGUUCCUGGGAGUGUCCUUGGUGCCUCCUGUGGGGCCUGGGAUGUAGCAGGCUGUCUGUGAAUCCCCCAGGAAUGAAAGCCACAGAGCUUUGGCUCACCUCGUCCCCUCUGCCUGGAAUUCCCUUUCCCCAUUUAACUGCAUGACAUACUUAAAUGUCCCCUCCUGAGGAAGCCCUCUGCAGCCCCCACCUCAAAACCACAUCCCUUCAUGGAUGAACAUGCCAAAUGGUGUCACACGGGUGCAAUCAGCCAAAUCCUGAAUGGAGGAAAUUCUAUUCACGGAACAAGCCACCAUGUUCUUAAACAAGAGAAAAAAAAGGAAAGAAAGGCUGUCACAAGUUGAAAUACAAUGUGUGAACCUCACUUAGCUCCUGAUUCAAAGAUCAGCUGGGAAAAGAGACUCAUGGAAGACUUCUGGAGAUAGGUUGCACACCAAUGAGAGCGUACUUACUACUGCUACACUUGCAGAUGGUUCAGAUGGCAAAUUUUAUGGCAUAUGCAUAUUUUCACUGCAGUUAGAAAAUUUAAAACAAAAAGACAUACAUGGACUGAUUGGGAAAUAUGAAUACUGACUGGAUAUUAGAUGACAUUAAGGGAUUAUUAAUUUUUUUUGAGAUUUUAUUUAUUCAUUUGAGAGAGAGAGAGAGAGAGGGCAUGAGUGAGGGGAGGGGCAGAGGGAGAGGGAGAAGCAGGCUUCCUGCUGAAUAGGGAGCCUGAUUCGGGGCUCGAUCCCAGGUCCCCGAGAUCAUGACCUGAGCCGAAGGCAGUCGCUUAACCAACUGAGCCACCCAGGUGCCCCUUUUUUUAAAGAUUUUAUUUAUUUAUUUGAGAGAGAAAGAGAGAGAGCACAAGCAGGGGGAGCGGCAGGCAGAGGGAGAAGCAGUCUCCCCACUGAGCAGGAAGCCCGAUGCGGGACUUGAUCCCAGGACCCUGGGAUCAUGACCUGAGCUGAAGGUAGACGCUUAACCUACUGAGCCACCCAGUACCCCUUCUCUACUUUUGGGUGUGUUUGAAAAUGUCUAUGAUCAGAAAAUAAAUUAAGAAGAAAAAAAAGAAAAAAUAGCGCCCCUCUAUCAUGCCCUGUUUUUCUUCCAUGCACUCAUCCCGGCCGGACAUACUGAGAACCUCCCCGUUUACUGUCCAUCUCACCCAGAAUGGCCCUUGGUUCUCUUGUCCACAUCGGCGUCCCGAGUGCCUGGAACUCACAGUGCAUGCCUCUCACCCAGCUCACAGCCUGGGCUGGGGCUCCAGGACCUCUUGAGCUUAGCAUUGAACCCCUGUACAGGUUUGGUUAUCUCGACCCCAGCCGUGACUUCAGAGGGCUGUGGGUGAGUGUCUCAGAGGCAAACUGCUCAUCCAGGAAGAUGUGGGUGCCACAGGCAAGAAGACUUGCUCUAGGUCAGGGAGGGGUGGAGGGGAAAGGGCGGGUUCUGGGAUAGGAGAAGCUCCCCCUGCCCUGCCCUCCUAGAGCCCCCCAAGCUCACGUGGACACUCUUGUACCUGUCCCUGCUUUUGUAGCUCCCAAGUACCAAGCCCAGCCUGAGUCAGGGUCAGAGGUUGCUGAGUGAGGCCAGGACCAGCAAGCAGGGCCCUCCCAAGGGGCCAGGAGGCAUUUUCUGGAAAAGGAACAGGGGAGGAGCAGGACUCCCUCCACCUCAAAGCCCUCAGCUUGGUUCCCAGACAUUGUCACCUGGGAUGGUGAGAUGAGCGCCCUUCUGCAUCUGCUGUGAGUCCCUUCAGCUGGCACUGCCAGGAGCAAGCUAUGAUCCCAGCAGGUGCUGGGACCUCGGUGGGGGCUCUGGA